CCUACGGGAGGCAGCAGUGAGGAAUAUUGGUCAAUGGACGAGAGUCUGAACCAGCCAAGUAGCGUGAAGGAUGACUGCCCUAUGGGUUGUAAACUUCUUUUAUAUGGGAAUAAAAUGUUCCACGUGUGGGAUUUUGUAUGUACCAUAUGAAUAAGGAUCGGCUAACUCCGUGCCAGCAGCCGCGGUAAUAGGGAGGAUCCGAGCGUUAUCCGGAUUUAUUGGGUUUAAAGGGAGCGUAGGUGGAUUGUUAAGUCAGUUGUGAAAGUUUGCGGCUCAACCGUAAAAUUGCAGUUGAAACUGGCAGUCUUGAGUACAGUAGAGGUGAGCGGAAUGCGUGGUGUAGCGGUGAAAUGCUUAGAUAUCACGAAGAACUCCGAUUGCGAAGGCAGUUCACUGGACUGCAACUGACACUGAGGCUCGAAAGUGUGGGUAUCAAACAGGAUUAGAUACCCCAGUAGUC
rnacentral:rRNA from 1 species